rnacentral:rRNA from 1 species
UUAAUCUUUAAGUGAANAAGCUUAAAUUUACUUGGAGGACNAUAAGACCCUAUAGAUCUUUACAUNUACUUUUUCCUAGGACGGACGUUAAUUUAGGCUAUUUUAUGAUGUUUCGUUGGGGCGACGGUGAGAGGAGAGAAAACUCUCAUNUUUUAUUACAGCAAUCGCUGACCUUUGAUCCAGGUAUGAAUUAAGAACAAGUUACCUUAGGGAUAACAGCGUAAUUCUUCUUGAGAGGCCAUAUCGACAGAAGAGUUUGCGACCUCGAUGUUGGAUCAGGGAACCUCACUAGCGCAGCAGCAAGUGCAGGCAGUCUGUUCGACUAUUAAUCCCCU